ACGUUUGGAAAAUCCACCCUGACUUAGAAGGGCGGGUCAGGGUGUAAUUUUAAUGCCCUUAACGGCGUCAGAGUGAACGGCUGACGUCGGAGCGUCAAUGUUCCUGUUCCUUCUGUGAUGUCCGCUUUUUUGUCAACCUUACAAAGAAAUGUUUUUUUUUCUUCCUUAUAUGUGGCUCGGUGCGUCCCGCAUUCAGUUGUGGGCAAACUUGAAUGUCGCAGCCUUUUAGUGCCCACUGUCCUGAAAAUGUUUCUGGUUAAAACCGUAGGUUGGUACCUUGAUAACUUAGUUGGGAAAAUCGUCGGAAAUGCUAUCCGUUAGGGCCGGAUAGCCUCCUUAUUUCCUUUUGCCUGCCCUAGGGGUUCCCAUGUGGGCUAUGGGGGCCUUAGUUUAAUUGCCCAUGUCAUUGUUUACAUUUUCUUAUCUGUUUUGAAUUUGAAUCUAACCUGUAAUUGUCAAUCUUAGUUACCUUUCUAAACUCCCUAGUUUUCCUCUUAUCUUCUGUUUAGCGCGUAAAUUUUAAAUUUUCGUUUCCGUUUCACUUUUUUUCUGAGUCUCGUUCUUUAAAACUCCGAACGGAAAUCGUUCUAGCACUUUUGUCCUAGCUCCGUUGUGGGAGUCAUCUCGAGUGAUCAGAUUUUAGAUCAUCUCACAUUAUUGUGGAGAUUUGCGGUCAUCGAGUGUGAAAAUUUAAGUAUCGUAUGGAGUGAUUCGUUGUGAGUGCAGCUUCACUAAGAUUUUCGUGGUAAAUGCUCGCACCAUCGCCGUAGCCGAAUAGUCGGAUUCGCAGGACAAAAUUCUUUUGCUAACACGAGGAAGCCGCCCAACAUCAAAGGCUUCAAAUUGGGGGGAGUAAAACCUUCGAGGGGACCUAACAUCCCAUCAUCUCUCGUUCCGGACGUGGUCCUUCGCCGUUAUCACCAAACCCGCCAUCUGCGAGGUCAACAGCUACCUCUGAGGGAGCCCCUCAUCGAAAAGACGGUCAGGCAAGCCUUUGUUAAUUACGGACGCGCCGGAACCCCCUAACCUCGAGCCUUUUUGCUGUCUCGUGUGUUCUCUUUCUUCCAAUUUUUUUUGUUUGAUCG